rnacentral:rRNA from 1 species
GACGAACGCUGGCGGCGUGCUUAACACAUGCAAGUCGAACGGAAAGGCCCUGCUUUUGUGGGGUGCUCGAGUGGCGAACGGGUGAGUAACACGUGAGUAACCUGCCCUUGACUUUGGGAUAACUUCAGGAAACUGGGGCUAAUACCGGCUAGGAGCUCCUGCUGCAUGGUGGGGGUUGGAAAGUUUCGGCGGUUGGGGAUGGACUCGCGGCUUAUCAGCUUGUUGGUGGGGUAGCGGCUUACCAAGGCUUUGACGGGUAGCCGGCCUGAGAGGGUGACCGGCCACAUUGGGACUGAGAUACGGCCCAGACUCCUACGGGAGGCAGCAGUGGGGAAUAUUGCACAAUGGGCGGAAGCCUGAUGCAGCAACGCCGCGUGCGGGAUGACGGCCUUCGGGUUGUAAACCGCUUUCGCCUGUGACGAAGCGUGAGUGACGGUAAUGGGUAAAGAAGCACCGGCUAACUACGUG